rnacentral:rRNA from 1 species
UACGAGGGGGCAAGCGUUGUUCGGAAUCACUGGGCGUAAAGCGCACGUAGGCGGCUUUCUAAGUCAGGGGUGAAAUCCUGGAGCUCAACUCCAGAACUGCCUUUGAUACUGGAGAGCUUGAGUCCGGGAGAGGUGAGUGGAACUCCGAGUGUAGAGGUGAAAUUCGUAGAUAUUCGGAAGAACACCAGUGGCGAAGGCGGCUCACUGGCCCGGUACUGACGCUGAUGUGCGAAAGCGUGGGGAGCAAACAGG